CAGCAGCCGCGGGAAAACGGAGGGUGCAAGCGUUAAUCGGAAUUACUGGGCGUAAAGCGCACGCAGGCGGUCUGUCAAGUCAGAUGUGAAAUCCCCGGGCUUAACCUGGGAACUGCAUUUGAAACUGGCAGGCUAGAGUCUUGUAGAGGGGGGUAGAAUUCCAGGUGUAGCGGUGAAAUGCGUAGAGAUCUGGAGGAAUACCGGUGGCGAAGGCGGCCCCCUGGACAAAGACUGACGCUCAGGUGCGAAAGCGUGGGGAGCAAACAGGAUUAGAUACCCCUGUAGUCCCUGUCUCUUAUAC
rnacentral:rRNA from 1 species